rnacentral:rRNA from 1 species
ACGCUCGACACCUACGGGAGGCAGCAGUUGGGAAUAUUGGACAAUGGAGGGAAACUCUGAUCCAGUGACGCCGCGUGAAGGAAGAAGGUCUUCGGAUUGUAAACUUAUUUUGUCAGGGAAAGAAAAAAUGACUGUACCUGAAGAAAAGCACCGGCUAACUACGUGCCAACAGCCGCGGUAAUCUGAGCGGCUGGCAAGGC